CAGUGAUUUCAGCUCUUUUAGAAUUUGUCUAGCAGGUUUCCCCCCUUGGCGGGAAGCCGCU
rnacentral:snRNA from 1 species